UACGAAGGGGGCUAGCGUUGUUCGGAUUUACUGGGCGUAAAGCGCACGUAGGCGGAUUGUUAAGUCAGGGUGAAAUCCUGAGCUCAACUCCAGAACUGCCUUUGAUACUGGCAAUCUAGAGUCCGGAAGAGGUGAGUGGAACUCCUAGUGUAGAGGUGGAAUUCGUAGAUAUUAGGAAGAACACCAGUGGCGAAAGGCGGCUCACUGGGUCCGGUACUGACGCUGAUGUGCGAAAGCGUGGGGAGCAAACAGG
rnacentral:rRNA from 1 species